UACCUGCUAUAGGUUGUUCUGGCCAACAUGUUGCUGGCAUUAGCUGUUUUAAGUAUGUUACCAUUUAUGUUUGAAAACUUUGAGCCAUUUUUUAGUUAUUUUGUUUGUCUUCUAUAAUCUUAUAUAUAUGCUGAUGUGUAAUGUAUGUUGUUUGCAAAUCGGUUAACGAGGGUUGCCUUUAAAAAUUCUAAAUCUAGUUGUACAAUGUAGUGGCAGAUUGAAAACCUAGCAGGCCAGAAUUUGGGAUUCUACUUUGUUUCUAUUUUAUAUCUAUAUAUCUAUAUAUGUGUUGAUUAUCCAGGUAUUUUGAGUUGUGCAGGCAUUAUGGACACAAUUUUUGUCAUCACUUCUGAUUUCUAUUGGUAACAUUUGAUUGAUAUCACCGUGGCUUCUGCAUUGAUUUAUCCGUGUCCUGCAAACUUUAAUGUUUUGGUUUUACUUUGAAAGACUUGACUAAGGCCUUUCUGUAGUGAAAUUAUGUUCUCUUGAUUUUUCAAAUAAUAGACAAGAUGCUUAUUCUCGGAUUCAAUGUGCUGCUGCUACACAUGUCCCAUUUCGCUAAUAAAAUCUUCAGCUAAUUAUGUUCUCUGGUCUAUGCAGUCUUUCCAUUAUUGCAAGUAUAAGCGGGGGAUGAAAACCAAUUUUACAUAUUUGCUGAUGAUUGCAUUCCAAGAUGUUUCAGAUGAGAUAGAAGAAGAUCCUACGGGUGGGAGGAUCAAGUGGGAGCAGGGAAAGUUGAAUAGAGCUCCGAAUAAGGUGGAAGAAAUUGUACAAUUUCAUGUUGGUGAUGUGGUCACAUACUUUCAAAAGGCGUCUCUUCUACCAUGUGGUGGAGAGUACAUUGUAUUUUGAACAGUUAUGGGUUGUGUUGGGACAUUACAUGCCUUCACUUCACGGGGUGAUGUUGAUUUCUAUUCUCAUCUGGAGAUGCAUAUGAGGCAGGAUCCCCUACCUUUGUGUGGAAGAGACCACAUGGCCUAUAGAUCUGCUUAUUUUCAUGAUAAGGUACCUACCUAAUCAAUUUUAUGUUUUUUGUUCUUUCUAUUAAUGCAAGAAAAAUGUUGGAGUUAGCUGUACACACGCUUCAACUGUCAUUUAGAGAAAACAUGGUAAUUUUGUAUAAAUUGUUUGGGUUAGGAGGAUCUUGCCUUCUUAGAAAUUGGAAUGAUAAGUUUGCACUCUAUCUCUAGCUUGCUGCAGUAGUCGUGUGUACUAUGAUGAUUUUUUUUGACCGAAUAAUCAAUGGCUUGCUGCUCAUCA